rnacentral:rRNA from 1 species
AUUGAACGCUGGCGGCAUGCCUUACACAUGCAAGUCGAACGGCAGCACGGGAGCUUGCUCCUGGUGGCGAGUGGCGAACGGGUGAGUAAUACAUCGGAACGUACCCAGUAGUGGGGGAUAACGCACCGAAAGGUGCGCUAAUACCGCAUACGACCUAAGGGUGAAAGCGGGGGACCGCAAGGCCUCGCGCUAUUGGAGCGGCCGAUGUCUGAUUAGCUAGUUGGCGGGGUAAAGGCCCACCAAGGCGACGAUCAGUAGCUGGUCUGAGAGGACGAUCAGCCACACUGGGACUGAGACACGGCCCAGACUCCUACGGGAGGCAGCAGUGGGGAAUUUUGGACAAUGGGGGCAACCCUGAUCCAGCAAUGCCGCGUGUGCGAAGAAGGCCUUCGGGUUGUAAAGCACUUUUGUCAGGGAAGAAAUCUUUCAGGCUAAUACCCUUGGAAGGAUGACGGUACCUGAAGAAUAAGCACCGGCUAACUACGUGCCAGCCGCCGCCGUAA